ensembl:snRNA U1 U1 spliceosomal RNA
AUACUUACUUUGCAGGGGAGAAACCAUGAUCAUGUAGGUGCUUCAACCAGGGCGAAGCUCGGCCGUUGUACUCUGGAUGUGCUGAGCCCUGUGAAUUCCCCAAAUGUGGAAAUGUUGGCUGUGUUAUUUCUGGUGGUGGGGGCCUGUGGUCACAUUCUGCCCUG